GCGGCGCGUAGUGCCAUCUUGUGGGCGUUAAUCGUUGUGGUUAAAAUCAGCAUUUUGUAAUAUAAAAAAAUAUGUUCAUUAUCUAGAAUCUUUAGUGAGUGCAGCAUUGUAUAACAUAUAAUUCUACAGAGUAAAACUUUCUUGUGCUGGUAAUGAUAACAAAUUUCCCGUGAUGGAUUCAUUUGAAUAUUGGGACAAAAGACAACGUAAAGUAAUGACAUCUAAUGAAUUGAUGGCGCUGGAAUGUCCAUCUGAUAGUGAAGAAGGGUUGAACUUCGACGAUUCAGAUGCAGACCCUACAGUAAAAAUACAGGGACCUGGAAUCGUCAGAUAGUGAAAGCGAGCCUGUAACUGCUGCACAAACAGUGAAUUCAUAUACAAAAGACUCAUCUGUGGCUGCAGCUCCCACUUCGGACAAAAGACGAAUUGGUUCACAAAAAAAAUAUUUUGUGGAAAAAACCUAGUGCUCCUUUUUCUGGUGACCUAUUCCCAUUCGAAGGAAAUACAAAGUUGCCCCAAUCAAUUUUAGAGCUAUCAACACCAUAACAAUUUUUCAGAUAUUUUUUUACUGACGAAAUAAGCAAAAUUGUAGAUGAAACUAAUCUGUACAGCAUCCACCAAAACCCAAACAAGCCAACUGACUUCACCAGCUAUGACAUUUAUAAAUUUAUUGGCAUAUGUAUUGUAAACUCUUUGGCUCCACCUGCUUGUGUCCGUGACCUUUGGAAUGACAUUACUGGAACUGAAUUAGUAAAACAGACCAUGUCUCACAGGAACUUUGAGAAAUUGCACAGAAGUUUGCAUUUCAAUGAUAAUUCCAAGCAACCAGAUGCUCAAAAUCCUGCUCAUGAUAAACUGUAUAAAAUUAGACCUGUACUGGAUUAUAUGAACCAGAAAUGUUUGUCAGCGCCUAUGUCUGAACGCCUGUCCAUUGACUAGCAGAUGUGAGCCACUAAGGCAAGGCACCAUAUGAAAAUGCACAUGAAGGAUAAGCCCAAUAAAUGGGGGUAUAAACUUUUUGUUAUUUGGGGAAAUGGGAUUUGCUCAUAAAAUCGAGAUUUACAGUAGGCAAGAAAGUGACCCGAAAAUUUGACUUGUUGGUGAACCUGAUAUUGGGGCCAGUGGGAACGUCGUGAUUCGUCUGUCAACAGAAAUACCAAGAGACCAAAAUUACAAGAUUUAUUUAGACACAUUUUAUACAUCUGUACCUUUAGCUGUGUAUCUAUUCAAGCAAGGUAUUCAGUGUGUGGGCACAAUUCAGCGAAACAGAAUUCCAACUUGCAAAUUUCAAGAUGAAAAAGAACUCAAGAAGGUACCACGUGGAUAUUCUGAAGAAUAUAUCACAAGCGUUGAGUCAGUGGACAUUUCCACUGUUUUGUAUAAAGACAACAGCCAUGUGUGUUUUCUUUCAACUUUUGUUGGAGAAAUGCCUAAAACAGAAGUCAGGAGGUUUGACAGAAAGAAGACGGAGCACAAAUUAGUGCCUUGUCCAGCAGUUGUUACAGUUUAUAAUUCCCAUAUGGGAAAUGUUGAUUUACUAGAAAGCAAUAUUGAAAGACAUCACAUAAAAAUGAGAUCAAAGCGAUGAUAUCUGUGACUGUUUUUUCAUUUGAUUGACACCAUUGUUAAUUCCUGGAUACUAUACCGAAGGAUGCUGAUUGAAAUAGGUGUAACAGACAUGCCAAUGACUUGAAAGAAAUACAGGACUGAUUUGGCCCAGAACAGAAGAAACGUGGCAGACCAAGCAACUCAGACCCGAUAGAGAGUAAGAGACUUAGACACAAAGGAUCUUCGCUGCCUCCAAAGGAUGUAAGAUUAGAUCCCUUCAAUCACUGGCCUGUAUGGAAUAAGAAGAGAACAGCAUGCAAACAUCCUAAUUGCAAAGGAUAUACAUUUGUAAUGUAUGAGAAAUGCCGAGUGAACUUGUGUCUGAAUAAAGACAAAAACUAUUUCCAUCUGUUUCAUAAUGCAUAAACUCGCUAGUAUUUAUUCAGACAGCACUUCAAUAAAUAUUCCAUGAUUUUUAAACGAUAUUUGUUAAUUUUACUUCAUAAAAUAUGAAGUUUAAUUUCUUUCCAUUUAUGUUGUAUUAGUGAAUGUAACUUGUACGCGCAGUUUUGCAUAUAUGCAAAGUGACCAAAAACACCUUUUUUUAAAAAACUAUGGGUGAUAUAUUUUUUCAUUAUUUUUAAAUAAGUAUUUACUUGUCUAUAAGUCGUGCUUUCCGAAGAAAAGUGUAACACAUAAACACAAUGAUAAUGGCUGGAUAAUAGCUGGGAUACAUACCUCCUGUAGACAGAAAGAAUCACUGUACAUUCUCAGUAGAAGCAACUACAAUUAUUUAUUUAAAUCAUACUAUAGAUCCUACUGCAUGAUAUGAAGGAGAGUAAUAAGAGAAGCUAAAAGGAAAUAUUAUAAUCAGUUAAUUACACCAGCUGAAAACAAAAUAAAAAAUACAUGGAACAUUAUCGACAUUGAAA